rnacentral:rRNA from 1 species
ACGCACGCUGGCGGCAUGCCUCACACCUGCAAGUCGCACGCACCCUUCGGGGUUAGUGGCGCACGGGUGCGUCACGCGUGGGAAUCUGCCCUUUGCUUCGGAAUAACUCAGGGAAACUUGUGCUAAUACCGGAUGAUGUCUUCGGACCAAAGAUUUAUCGGCAAGGGAUGAGCCCGCGUAGGAUUAGGUAGUUGGUGGGGUAAAGGCCUACCAAGCCGACGAUCCUUAGCUGGUCUGAGAGGAUGAUCAGCCACACUGGGACUGAGACACGGCCCAGACUCCUACGGGAGGCAGCAGUGGGGAAUAUUGGACAAUGGGCGCAAGCCUGAUCCAGCAAUGCCGCGUGAGUGAUGAAGGCCCUCGGGUCGUAAAGCUCUUUUACCAGGGAUGAUAAUGACAGUACCUGGAGAAUAAGCUCCGGCUAACUCCGUG